UCUGUUGGAUUGUAAAGAAAUGAAUCAAAAACACAAAAAUGUUAAAAAUUCCAGUUUGAGUAAGAGAGACAAACAAGGACAUGUGGAAUUUAAACUCGGAGCUACUGUGGACUCUCGAGCUGACCAGUGGCCCUGGGGUUGUAACCAUGAGCUGGAACCAACCUCUACAUUUACACCGUCGAGUCUAGUUUGUAGCUCAUCAAGAUACAAAGUCUAGACAUGAACAAGCAAAGUUAUCACCAUCGCCCUGGUGCUACCAAGAGGAGAUGUUACUGUACAGAUAAAAAUAAGUCAAAUGGAGGUAAGGAGCAGUGGAAAGCUACUAGACACUAGAAAAUCUGCUGACUGUCUCACGAAGCAUAGCUGCAGUACUUAAAGAGCAAGUCACCCCCUCCACUCCCACUUCUUGUUUGAAAAAUGCAACGAAUGCUGUUGCCUGGCAGACCGAGAGGGCGGAGCCGCUAACAAAUAUACACAAAUACAGGCUCACAAUGGAAUUAUGACAUUAUAUGGUACCAGCUGAUGUCAUUUGAUACUUCUUACCCCUUCUUUCCACCGGAGCUGUCAGCAGCACGUUACUGCAGCAGCACGUCAUAGCCGCUGAUAGGAACCGCUGUGGUCAACAGAACCUUUUCCACCGGAGCCGUCAGCAGCGCGAGUCGGCCGCGUCUCAGGAGCAGCAUGUCGCGGCAUUUACGCGCCGGUUCUAUUUUCUACGUGUGACGCCUCUGAAACGGGUCAUGUUCGACAUUUUUGGGGAAGGAAAGACAGGAAAUCGGAUGCGGAAACGGAGAGAAGCUCCCAAGAUUUUCAGAAUAAAGAAACGUACUGCCUUCCGGUUGCUUUACUUUAAAAAUAAAAGUUACUAACUGUGCGGCCACGUGAGAAGUUAUCACCUAGCUAGCGGCCUCCUUUGUUUUUCAGGUCCGUACUGGCGAUUAUAAAACGGACAGAACAUAAAACACAAAUCUUUUGGAGCCAUGUUGCAGUUUUCUCCUGCUUGUUGUUGUGUUUACUGACGAAGUCACUCAUGCUCGGUCGGUGACAGCUGCUCCCCUGCUGCUUCGCGUCUCGUGGGAAGGGCCAAGCAGCAGCUUACGCGAGCAAGACGUGCUGCUGCAGUAACGUGCUGCUGACGGCUCCUGUGGAAAGAAGGGGUUAGUCAUUAGCAAUGGCAGAUUUAAACUCAAAUGAACUAAAAUGCCAAAUUAUUGACUACAAGUGUCCACAGCACAAUCGGACACUCAUUUAUAUAGUUUAUCAGCAAAAAAAAAAGUUAAUUUGGGGGUGACUUGCUCUUUAAUAAACAAUGACUACACAAUCCCAUCCUAGCCUACUGUUGUGUCCUUGGGCAAGACAUGUCAUGUCAAUGAUGCAAAAAUGGCUGAUUCACCUGUUUCACUGCUAUAUCAGAUGCUGAUGUACCAUCUCUUGUUGGACAGGACUUGUGUUUAACUUUAAUUCAGUGAUAUAAGAUGCAGAAAACUUGUGUGGAACCCUCAGUAAACCAACUUAACCGUGGUGGCACGUCUCAGGCUGAAUAGCUUAUUUUGAUGACUGAUUAUGGCUAUAAUGCAAGGAUCAGACCAGACCAAGGAAACAGGAAGCAAUCAACCCAGCAACAGUUCAACUCCCUCAUCAAUAAAAAACUAAAUCUCAAUUCAAUUCAAUAAUACUUUAUUAAUCCCAGAGGGAAAUUGAUUGCUGUAGUAGCUCAGAAUAAUAAUAAUAAUCAAGUCAUCAAAGAGUUGUUGUAUAUUACAAUGGCUGUUGGCAGGAAGGAUCUCCAGUAGCGGUCAGUGUUGCAGCCAAACUGAAGAAGCCUCUGACUGAAGACACUCUUCCGUUGUCGGACAGUCUUGUGAAGAGAAUGCUCAGGGUUGUCCAUCAUUUUCUUGAUUCUCUGGAGAAUCCUUCUUUGCAUUAUCUCCUCCAGCGGUUCCGAAACUGCCUAAACUCUGGCUGAGUCCUUGAAAGGGCUUGGAGUUCUUCCAUCUUGUUGGCCAGUGAUCUCACAUUGCCCAUUAUGAUCGAUGGAAGAGAUGGUUUGAAUUUCCUCUUUCUCUGUCUCCGUUUUGCUCUCGAUCUGCACCCACGCUUCUUGCGUUUUAGCUCAUUUGGUAUUUGUGGCUUCAGUUGAGGUAUUAUUUCAGCCUUUCCAAUGUUAAUCAGCUGCUCCCGAUUGUAAACCAUUUGUUGCCAUGGUUACGCAGCAUAACAAAUGCUCAAAAAGUGAAAAAAAGCUAAACAUUAGCUGUAAAAAUCCUCCAAGCUUCACAGCACCAGAAACAGAAAAGUAAAGUGUCCAAAAAAAUACAGUUUUUCUUGAGAAACUAGAAGAAAAAAUGCCCAAGAAAAGGCUAAACUUACAUAUAGUCAACAGAGCUACUCCAACAUACAGCCGCCCGGAGCAGCGCAGUUCCGGAAAGACGCAUUUUUGGUUAGUAAAACUUUUUUUGGCUUGUCCCCCACUUAACGGCAAAAGCAGUUAAGUGUCCGCUCCUUAAUUGGAAGGUUGCGAGCGCCGCCCAGUCCGUCACAGUCACUGUCCCCUUGGGCAGACACUUGGCUCACCUUGCCUGCUGGUGGUGGCGGUGGUCGGAAGGACCAGUGGCACCAGUGCAGCUGUGGCUACACUGUAGCUCAUUACCACCAGUGUGUGAACGGUGAAUGACUGGAUGUGUUGUGAAGUGCUUUGGGGUCCUAGAAGCCACUUAUCAUAAGCAAUUAGUGUUUUAGCAAGUAAAACAUAUUUAUACCGAGAACCUUCACCAACAUAUUUAUACUCAAUUCUUCAGAUUUUAUGCCUAAAUGAUAAUAUAUAAUUGUUGUGACCCACAGGAACCUUAAAGAGCAAGUCACCCCUACCAGUUUUUUUACUCAACUCCCACUUCCUGUUUGAAAAAAGCAACAAACGCUGUUGCCUAGCAGACCGAGAGGGCGGAGCCGUUAACAAAUACACACUCACGACAUUGUGACAUCAUAAUGUACCAUCUAACAUCAUAGUGUAUCUCUUAGCCAAUAGCGAUGGCAGAUUUAAAUUCAAAUGCAGUGCAGAGUUUUUACCCGACGACAGUGCAUCGCUGAUCGUUUUAGGCAGAAUACUUAAUACUUUUAACUAAAAAGCCGAAUUAUUGAAUACAUUUGUCUACAGCCAGAUCAGACACUCAUUUAUAUAGUUUAUCAGCAAAAAAAAAUGUUGAUUUGGAGUGACUUGCUCUUUAAAUAGACUAAUUUGGCCCAAGUGGAAACCAGUUUGGACACUAAUGCUAAACUGGGAGAAUAAUGGGUUUCCUCAUUAGCUUUGUAAACCCUAUAGGACAUAAUAUCCUUUAACAUUGUGUGACGCAAUCUUUUUAAAAAUUCUGACUAUAGGGUGAAGUUUUAAUAGAAAAAAAGAUUUAUUCUAUGGGUGUUGACGACCUGCAUCAUUCUUGGACCAUAGUUUACCUUUCGGCUUGUGUUUGCAGACAUGCUCCACAAGGGGUUCAGGUCCAUUACUCAUUCAUGGGUUCAGAUUGGUGUCCCUCUUGCACAAGUCCGGAGAAGGCCAUCCACUGCUGCUGUUGUGGAAAGUCAGGAUGCUUCCCUGGCGAGGAUUGCUGUGCACAUCCAACAGAGAGGAGUCCUAAAGGAAGACCCAGGACACACCGGAGGGACAAGUCUCUCAUCUGGCCAGGGAACGCCUUAGGAUUCCCCAGAGGAGCUGGCCCAAGUGGCUGUGGAGAGGGAAGUCGGGGCCUUUCUGAGGCUGCUGCCCCUGCGACCUGACCCCGGAUAAGCAGAUGAACGUGGAUGGGUGGAUGGAUGGAUGGAUGGUCCGUUUAUUUACAGUUUACAAUUUUAAUCAGCCACACAAAAACAACCAAACCUCAGGUCCCCACCCACCCCGCUGUACUAGGUGGGUGUAAUAGACUCCACGUGGAAACACUUGGAGCUCUUCAUCUGGAUCCGCACCACAACUGGAGUAAAUGCACUCAUUGGACUCAAUGCUUUCUGAUCCAUUUGAAACCGGAUUGCAUCCAUUCUGCAUUUGGUGUGAACGAGGCUUCAGGCCCUCUCAGUAGCAGCUGUAGCCCUGCUCUCAUGCAGUGUUUCUUAACCCUGGUCCUCAGCUCCCCGUCCUGCAUGUUUUGGGUGUUUCCCUGCUGCCACACCUGAUCUAAAUGAAUGAGUGAUUAACAGGUUUCUGCAGCACUUGAUGUCAUCCUGAGAAGGCAAUGCAAACGUAUAAGUCAGGUGGGCUGAAGCAGAGACAUGGAAAACAUGCAGGACAGGGGGGUGCGUGGUUUAUUAUUAAUUUAGGUAGGAAUGGGCCAUGUGACCUAAAAUCUAUAUCACAUUAUCCGUUAUAUUCUUUUCUUCUGUUUAUUUAUGUAUGCCAAAGUGACUGUUUUUGACAUUCUCGCAUACUGGAUGAAUUUCAGCAGAACAAAUACUUCUUAAACAAACUGAAGAACGUUCAAAACUUUCAAGUAGUUUUUACGUUGUGUUAUGAUUCAUUCUCCAAACAAAGCAACACCCUCAUGAAACUAGUGAAGAUAAAAAUGUUUAAAUGCAACACAAGCUAAAUGUGAUGACAACACAAAAUUAUAGCUUGAAAUAAAGUGAAAAAUGUAAAAGCAGAAAUAACACGUCUGCCUUCCCUGAUUAAGUUAACACUUUUCAUGUGUUCCAUGUCUUCAUAGCAGUUACAUGUUGCUUCAGUGAGGAAUACCUGAAGGUGAAGUGGUGAGUUGUUACGAUUUUUGUCGACAUUAAUAAAUAAGUUGGAGGUUUA